rnacentral:rRNA from 1 species
CAGUCGCCACGGUAAUACAGAGGUCCCAAGCGUUGUUCGGAAUCACUGGGCGUAAAGGGUGCGUAGGCGGCGCGGAAAGUCAGGGGUGAAAUCCCGGAGCUCAACUCCGGAACUGCCUUUGAUACUCCCGCACUUGAGAACUGGAGGGGAGACCGGAAUUCACGGUGGAGCAGUGAAAUGCGUGGAUAUCGUGAGGAACACUAGCGGCGAAGGCGGGUCUCUGGACAGUAUCUGACGCUGAGGCACGAAGGCCAGGGGAGCGAACGGGAUUAGAUACCCGCGUAGUCCCUGUCUCUUAUAC